UAUAUUGUAAAAUGGACACCAAACACAUGUUGAUAGAAUAGUGUACUGAUAGUAUAAAAAAGAAGAUGUGGUAUGAUUGCCAAUGAAACAACUAUCCACAAAAGACCAAAAUGACACAGACAUUAACAACUAUAGGUCACCGUACGGCCUUCAACAAUGAGCAAAGCCCAUACCGCAUAGUGAGCUAUAAAAGGCCCCGAUAAGACAAUGUAAAACAAUUCAAACGAGAAAACUAACGGCCUUAUUUAUGUAAAAAAAUGAACGAAAAACAAAUAUGUAACACAUAAACAAAUGACAACCACUGAAUUACAGGCUCCUGACUUGGGACAGGCACAUACAUAAAUUAGGUGGCGUGGUUAAACAUGUUAGCGGGAUCCCCACCCUUCACCUAACCUGGGACAGUGGUAUAACAGUACAACAUAAGAACGAACUAUAAAAAUCAGAUGAAAAAGGCUUAACUCAUCAGAUGGACAAAAAUACAAGUGGACGCGGCCCGGUACUUAUACAUCCCGACACAAAAAGACACAAUGAACAAAUCUGAGAGUAUUCGCAGUUAUCUGACAGCUAGUUCAAAGUCACUAACAACUAAUAAAAAAAUCAUGCAACUAAGACUAAACUAUCAAUCCGUACACAUCCAACAUCCAUCUAUCGUUUUCAGAUAUUUCUUUUCCGCCAUUCAUAAGUUUAAUGUUUACUUUGACUUAAUGCUAUACAUGUAUAAUGUGUGUUCAGAGAUGGAUUUAUAAACUUUAUGCUUAAAAUAAUAAACCCAAACAGACAAUAAACAGGUGAUUUGGUGACCAUUUAGACUUCGUUUAGAUAACAC
rnacentral:lncRNA from 1 species